AACGAACGCUGGCGGCAGGCUUAACACAUGCAAGUCGAACGCCCCGCAAGGGGAGUGGCCGACGGGUGAGUAACGCGUGGGAACAUACCCUUUUCUACGGAAUAGCUCUGGGAAACUGGAAUUAAUACCGUAUACGCCCUACGGGGGAAAGAUUUAUCGGGGAAGGAUUGGCCCGCGUUGGAUUAGCUAGUUGGUGGGGUAAAGGCCUACCAAGGCGACGAUCCAUAGCUGGUCUGAGAGGAUGAUCAGCCACAUUGGGACUGAGACACGGCCCAAACUCCUACGGGAGGCAGCAGUGGGGAAUAUUGGACAAUGGGCGCAAGCCUGAUCCAGCCAUGCCGCGUGAGUGAUGAAGGCCUUAGGGUUGUAAAGCUCUUUCACCGAUGAAGAUAAUGACGGUAGUCGGAGAAGAAGCCCCGGCUAACUUC
rnacentral:rRNA from 1 species